UGCAGUCGACGCACUCUCGUUUAGAUUGAAGGAGCUUGCUCCUGAUUGAUAAACAUUUGAGUGAGUGGCGGACGGGUGAGUAACACGUGGGUAACCUGCCCUAAAGUGGGGGAUAACAUUUGGAAACAGAUGCUAAUACCGCAUAAAACCUAACACCGCAUGGUGUAGGGUUGAAAGAUGGUUUCGGCUAUCACUUUAGGAUGGACCCGCGGUGCAUUAGUUAGUUGGUGAGGUAAAGGCUCACCAAGACCGUGAUGCAUAGCCGACCUGAGAGGGUAAUCGGCCACACUGGGACUGAGACACGGCCCAGACUCCUACGGGAGGCAGCAGUAGGGAAUCUUCCACAAUGGACGAAAGUCUGAUGGAGCAACGCCGCGUGAGUGAAGAAGGUUUUCGGAUCGUAAAACUCUGUUGUUGGAGAAGAAUGUAUCUGAUAGUAACUGAUCAGGUAGUGACGGUAUCCAACCAGAAAGCCACGGCUAACUACGUGCCAGCAGCCGCGGUAAUACGUAGGUGGCAAGCGUUGUCCGGAUUUAUUGGGCGUAAAGCGAGCGCAGGCGGUUUCUUAAGUCUGAUGUGAAAGCCUUCGGCUCAACCGAAGAAGUGCAUCGGAAACUGGGAAACUUGAGUGCAGAAGAGGACAGUGGAACUCCAUGUGUAGCGGUGAAAUGCGUAGAUAUAUGGAAGAACACCAGUGGCGAAGGCGGCUGUCUGGUCUGUAACUGACGCUGAGGCUCGAAAGCAUGGGUAGCAAACAGGAUUAGAUACCCUGGUAGUCCAUGCCGUAAACGAUGAGUGCU
rnacentral:rRNA from 2 species